rnacentral:rRNA from 1 species
UCGAGAAUCAUUCACAAUGCGCGAAAGCGUGAUGAUGCGACGCCGCGUGGAGGAUGACGGCCUUCGGGUUGUAAACUCCUGUCAUGAGGGAACAACGAAUCUCGGUUAAUAUCCGGGAGGAGAGAUGGUACCUCAGGAGGAAGCCACGGCUAACUCUGUGCCAGCAGCCGCGGUAAUACAGAGGUGGCGAGCGUUGUUCGGAUUUACUGGGCGUAAAGGGUGCGUAGGCGGUUUGGUAUGUCGGGUGUGAAAUCUCACUGUCCAACGGUGAAACUGCAUUCGAAACUGCCGGACUAGAGUACAGGAGGGGAGAGCGGAAUUCUCGGUGUAGCGGUGAAAUGCGUAGAUAUCGAGAAGAACGCCGGCGGCGAAGGCGGCUCUCUGGACUGAUACUGACGCUGAGGCACGAAAGCUGGGGGAGCGAACAGG